AGCAAGAUGGCCGAGUAACAGGCAGAAGAUUGUAGAUCUUCCAACAGGUUCAACCUUCUUGUUA
rnacentral:tRNA from 1 species